GGAAAUUUGUCACAACAGCAAGCUAGCAUUCAGACUGGGAUUAUCAGUUAUAACCCUGAUAGUUGCACAGUUACUUGUGCGAAAGGUUGGACAAAGCGCAAGGUUGAGAACAACUGGGAGCAGAAAAAGAAAAAAGGCCGUGUGGGAGUAGCUGUCAAACGACCUGGAUAUAACUUCAGGCCUUGAACACUGCUCUUCAGCCAACAAUUGUGCCUAAAACAGAAUAUAAUUUUCUCUUGGUAGUGGUGAGGCUUCUCCUUCAGAGACAUUGGCUUAUGUGAAGGAGAGGUCUAUUGAAAAUAGUUUAUGCAGAAUACUGCUCCUGCAUGCUCUUUUUGGUUGGUAUUUGCCGCGUUUGCAACUGUAAAAUGCCUAACAUUAACAAGACGUAAUUUCGAUG